UACGUAGGGUGCGAGCGUUAAUCGGAAUCACUGGGCGUAAAGCGUGCGCAGGCGGUUAUAUAAGACAGUUGUGAAAUCCCCGGGCUCCACCUGGGAAUUGCAUCUGUGACUGUAUAGCUAGAGUACGGUAGAGGGGGAUGGAAUUCCGCGUGUAGCAGUGAAAUGCGUAGAUAUGCGGAGGAACACCGAUGGCGAAGGCAAUCCCCUGGACCUGUACUGACGCUCAUGCACGAAAGCGUGGGGAGCAAACAGG
rnacentral:rRNA from 1 species